GACGAACGCUGGCGGCGUGCCUAAUACAUGCAAGUUGAGCGCUGAAGGUUGGUACUUGUACCAACUGGAUGAGCAGCGAACGGGUGAGUAACGCGUGGGGAAUCUGCCUUUGAGCGGGGGACAACAUUUGGAAACGAAUGCUAAUACCGCAUAAAAACUUUAAACACAAGUUUUAAGUUUGAAAGAUGCAAUUGCAUCACUCAAAGAUGAUCCCGCGUUGUAUUAGCUAGUUGGUGAGGUAAAGGCUCACCAAGGCGAUGAUACAUAGCCGACCUGAGAGGGUGAUCGGCCACAUUGGGACUGAGACACGGCCCAAACUCCUACGGGAGGCAGCAGUAGGGAAUCUUAGGCAAUGGACGAAAGUCUGACCGAGCAACGCCGCGUGAGUGAAGAAGGUUUUCGGAUCGUAAAACUCUGUUGGUAGAGAAGAACGUUGGUGAGAGUGGAAAGCGCAUCAAGUGACGGUAACUACCCAGAAAGGGACGGCUAACUACGUG
rnacentral:rRNA from 1 species